UACGUAGGGUGCGAGCGUUGUCCGGAAUUACUGGGCGUAAAGAGCUCGUAGGUGGUUUGUCGCGUUGUUCGUGAAAACCGGGGGCUUAACCCUCGGCGUGCGGGCGAUACGGGCAGACUUGAGUACUGCAGGGGAGACUGGAAUUCCUGGUGCAGCGGUGGAAUGCGCAGAUAUCAGGAGGAACACCGGUGGCGAAGGCGGGUCUCUGGGCAGUAACUGACGCUGAGGAGCGAAAGCGUGGGGAGCGAACAGG
rnacentral:rRNA from 1 species